CGGCGGACGGGUGAGUAACGCGUGGGUAACCUGCCUCAUACAGGGGGAUAACAGUUGGAAACGGCUGCUAAUACUGCAUAAGCGCACAGUACCGCAUGGUACGGUGUGAAAAACUCCGGUGGUAUGAGAUGGACCCGCGUCUGAUUAGGUAGUUGGUGGGGUAACGGCCUACCAAGCCGACGAUCAGUAGCCGACCUGAGAGGGUGACCGGCCACAUUGGGACUGAGACACGGCCCAA
rnacentral:rRNA from 1 species